AGUUGUAAUUGUAAAAAACGGCCAUAAAUCACUUUUCUCAGUGCCAUUAUAACUUUGAAUGGUCGCUAAAUGAACUGUUGUAAGUUGAGGACUACCUGUAUCUUAGAUUCAACAGCAGCUGAAUCUUUUUUCUUUCACUUAUGUUCCCCAGAUAAUUAAGUUUCCCCCCUCCCUCUCUUUCCUAUAUCUACAGUUUCUCUGGAAGUGAAUUUGCACUUACUUUAUCUUUCCUUCGUCCCUUCUCCUGCAUCAUGACCUGAUGCUCUUAUCAUUUUUGGCUGCAUUUCACACUGUAGGAGGAAGGAUCCUUUGUUCUCUAUUUAUCCCCUCACAAAAGAGAUAAUUCUCCUCAUGGGCCUUUGUGUGCCAUCUUUUUAUUAACCUUCCUAUUGGCGUUCCAAUUUUAAUCUGCCUUCUCUUUUUGCUCCUUUCAUUCAAAGAGGUUUAGAUGAACCACUGUUCUCUGCUAUUUCACAUUUUCUGAGGUAAACUUUUCUAGAACCUAAUCUUUUUAUCAUUUAAGAUCCGGGUUUCCUUUACCAUUUUGCAUUUUCUGAGGUAAUGCUUUCAAGAACUUAAUUUUUUCCCAUUUAGGAUCAGGUUUUCCUUCAAUAUUCUUUAAUUUUCUUGAGAGAGCCUUGGUGCUCACUGAAAUUGGUUGUUUUCUUCCAAAGGCUUUGUUACUCAAACUAGAUAGUAUCAGUGCUAGUGUAAUUUUCUUUCUUUCAGGACCUCAAUUUGGCUCUGCCACAGCUUUUCACCAGGUGUCAGGGCCACCAUACUUUAUUACCUCAGACCAGUGGUGGCCCCUCAAAUAAAACUGUUUCUUAGUAUCUUCAAUACAGUGGAAGCGCUUCAAUCUUCAGUACGGACUUCAAAUCGAAGUCUUCAAAGGACUUCGAGGCAGAAAACGUUCAGCGAUAAGGCAAUUUUACGAGAAAGGGAAGACGAUGGCGUUUUACCUCAGGUGUUCCUCACAGGCGGGAGCAAAGGGCAACUAUUGUACUGGAACAUCCUGUCCUACCUUUUUACUGUCUAUGAGAUCAACCAUAAUCCUCAACUAUUGGCCAACAUCACCCUGGGUUACAAUUUAUUGGACAAUUAUUUUGAUGCGAGGAGUACUUCCGAAGCCAUGGCAGACCUCCUCUCAACUGGACAGACCAAUAUUCCAAACUACCACUGUGGGAGGCAGAACAGUUUACUUGCAAUCAUCGAAGGCACUCAUUCUGAUACUUCUAAGCAGAUUUCAACCAUGUCAGAAAUCUACAAAAUCCCGCAGGUAUGACUAUAAUGUCUAGCUGGAAAAAGCAUGUUUAUUGGUCUGAAAUAGGUUUUGAACAUGUAAAGUGAACAUAUAAAAAAUUGCAUGACUCAAUGGGCAAGGAACUAUGGACAUAAGGUGAUGCUUGAACAAUGGGAAAAAAAUGUGAAUGAAAGGUUUAAAAUUCACACUAAACUAUCAUUUAAAAGAAAAUGUUUAUAAGAUGGUAUUUAACACUGGAUAAGUUAUCUAGAAUGUAUAAAAAGUAUUUCAAAUGAAUGUUGGAAAUGUAAAAGUAAAGAAGGGAUCUUUUAUCAUUUAUGGUGGACAUGUGAUAAAGCAAAGAAAUUUUGGAGUAAGAUUCAACUAAUCAAGGAGAGAAGCAACUUAGAACUAAGGAGAAAUUUCCUGACAGUGAGAACAAUUAAUCAGUGGAACAACUUGCCUCCAGAAGUUGCGAAUGCUCCAACACUGGAAGUUUUUAAGAGGAUGUUGGAUAACCAUUUGUCUGAAGCGAUGUAGGGUUUCCUGUGUAAGCAGGGGGUUGGACUAGAAGACCUCCAAGGUCCCUUCCAACUCUGUUAUUCUAUUCUAUUCAUAUUUUAAUACAGAAAAUUGUUAAAACAAGGAUAAAGAUGAAACCAAAAACUUUUCUUUUGGGUUUAAUGGAAAAAGACUUGGGGGAAAAAAAUUGGAAUUUUGAUCUUAUAUAUGUUGGCGGCAGAAUGACUAUUGUAUGCACAAAAAUUGAAGGACAUUUCAAUUCCCACCAUGGACGAAUGGCUACAGAAGUUGAAGGAGUUGGUGAAAUUGAUCGUUUUGAUCGAAGAAAAAAAAUACUUUUGUUGCUACAUGGACUUCUGGACUUUGUGCUUGAGGUGGAAAAAAAUGAAACUUGGAUUUUGGGUUUUACUCAUUAGAUUGAUUUGUUGUUAUAGAAAUGGCUAGUUUAUAUUAUUAUGGAAAAAUAAAAAGUUGAGGUUG